rnacentral:rRNA from 1 species
GAUGAACGCUGGCGGCGUGCCUAAUACAUGCAAGUCGAGCGAACAGACGAGGAGCUUGCUCCUCUGACGUUAGCGGCGGACGGGUGAGUAACACGUGUAUAACCUACCUAUAAGACUGGGAUAACUUCGGGACACCGGAUCUAAUACCGGAGGAUAUAUUGAACCGCAUGGUUCAAUAGUGAAAUACGGCUUUGCUGUCACUUCUAGAUGGAUCCGCGCCGCAUUAGCUAGUUGGUAAGGUAACGGCUUACCAAGGCGACGAUGCGUAGCCGACCUGAGAGGGUGGUCGCCCACACUGGAGCUGGGACACGGUCCAGACUCCUACGAGAGGCAGCAGUAGGGAACGUUCCGCAGUGGGCGAGAGCAUGACGGAGCGACGCCGCGUGAGUUAUGAAGGUCUUGGGAUCGUAAAACUCUGUUACUAGUGAAGAACAAAUUUGUAAGUAACUAUGCACGUAUUGACGGUACCUAAUCAGAAAGCCACGGCUAACUACGUG